AGAUUGAACGCUGGCGGCAUGCCUUACACAUGCAAGUCGAACGGCAGCACGGGGGCAACCCUGGUGGCGAGUGGCGAACGGGUGAGUAAUACAUCGGAACGUGUCCAGUUGUGGGGGAUAACCAGUCGAAAGAUUGGCUAAUACCGCAUGAGCCCGAAAGGGGAAAGCGGGGGACCUGCAAGGGCCUCGCGCGAUUGGAGCGGCCGAUGUCCGAUUAGCUAGUGGUGAGGUAACGGCUCACCAAGGCGACGAUCGGUAGCUGGUCUGAGAGGACGACCAGCCACACUGGGACU
rnacentral:rRNA from 1 species